rnacentral:rRNA from 1 species
AAAAAAGGUAAGCUACUAAGAGCGAAUGGUGGAUGCCUUGACUGGUAAAGGCGAUGAAGGACGUACUAGACUGCGAUAAGCUACGGGGAGCUGUCAAGAAGCUUUGAUCCGUAGAUUUCCGAAUGGGGCAACCCAAUGUAUAGAGAUAUACAUUACCUAUAUAGGAGCGAACGAGGGGAAUUGAAACAUCUUAGUACCCUCAGGAAAAGAAAUCAAUAGAGAUUGCGUCAGUAGCGGCGAGCGAAAGCGCAAGAGGGCAAACCCAGUGCUUGCACUGGGGGUUGUAGGACUGCAAUGUGCAAGAGCUGAGUUUAGCAGAACAUUCUGGAAAGUAUAGCCAUAGAGGGUGAUAGUCCCGUAUGCGAAAAACAAAGCUUAGCUAGCAGUAUCCUGAGUAGGGCGGGACACGAGGAAUCCUGUCUGAAUCCGGGUCGACCACGAUCCAACCCUAAAUACUAAUACCAGAUCGAUAGUGCACAAGUACCGUGAGGGAAAGGUGAAAAGAACUGAGGUGAUCAGAGUGAAAUAGAACCUGAAACCAUUUGCUUACAAUCAUUCAGAGCACUAUGUAGCAAUACAGUGUGAUGGACUGCCUUUUGCAUAAUGAGCCUGCGAGUUGUGGUGUCUGGCAAGGUUAAGCAAACGCGAAGCCGUAGCGAAAGCGAGUCUGAAUAGGGCGCUUAGUCAGAUGCUGCAGACCCGAAACGAAGUGAUCUAUCCAUGAGCAAGUUGAAGCUAGUGUAAGAACUAGUGGAGGACUGAACCCAUAGGCGUUGAAAAGCCCCGGGAUGACUUGUGGAUAGGGGUGAAAGGCCAAUCAAACUUCGUGAUAGCUGGUUCUCUCCGAAAUAUAUUUAGGUAUAGCGUUGUGUCGUAAUAUAAGGGGGUAGAGCACUGAAUGGGCUAGGGCAUACACCAAUGUACCAAACCCUAUCAAACUCCGAAUACCUUAUAUGUAAUCACAGCAGUCAGGCGGCGAGUGAUAAAAUCCGUCGUCAAGAGGGAAACAACCCAGACUACCAGCUAAGGUCCCUAAAUCUUACUUAAGUGGAAAACGAUGUGAAGUUACUUAAACAACCAGGAGGUUGGCUUAGAAGCAGCCAUCCUUUAAAGAAAGCGUAAUAGCUCACUGGUCUAGUGAUUUUGCGCGGAAAAUAUAACGGGGCUAAAGUAAGUACCGAAGCUGUAGACUUGCACACAACUUAGAUUAUUUAAGUUUAGAAUAUGAGAAACUAAGUUAUAUGUUUAGUUAUAUUUUUACUGAUUUUUAUAGAGUAAAGAUAGAAAUAAAACUUAGUAAAAUCAGUAAAAAUAUUCUUAGACUAAAGUUAAGUAGUUUAAGUUGUGUGCAAGUGGUAGGAGAGCGUUCUAUUUGCGUCGAAGGUAUACCGGUAAGGAGUGCUGGAGCGAAUAGAAGUGAGCAUGCAGGCAUGAGUAGCGAUAAUUAAUGUGAGAAUCAUUAACGCCGUAAACCCAAGGUUUCCUACGCGAUGCUCGUCAUCGUAGGGUUAGUCGGGUCCUAAGUCGAGUCCGAAAGGGGUAGACGAUGGCAAAUUGGUUAAUAUUCCAAUACCAACAUUAGUGUGCGAUGGAAGGACGCUUAGGGCUAAGGGGGCUAGCGGAUGGAAGUGCUAGUCUAAGGUCGUAGGAGGUUAUACAGGCAAAUCCGUAUAACAAUACUCCGAGAACUGAAAGGCUUUUUGAAGUCUUCGGAUGGAUAGAAGAACCCCUGAUGCCGUCGAGCCAAGAAAAGUUUCUAAGUUUAGCUAAUGUUGCCCGUACCGUAAACCGACACAGGUGGGUGGGAUGAGUAUUCUAAGGCGCGUGGAAGAACUCUCUUUAAGGAACUCUGCAAAAUAGCACCGUAUCUUC